UACGGUUAUAUCAAGUUGAAGCAACAGUUCACGUUCGAUCACCGAAGUUAAACCGCGUUGGUCUUGGUUAGUACUCAGAUCGAUGGCUACUGUAGAAUACCAGGUACUGUAAG